rnacentral:RNase_P_RNA from 1 species
GAAGUCCGCUAGGCAGUCGCCGCGCAUGAAACAUUGCGCGGAGGAAAGUCCGGGCUCCGCAGAGCAAGAUGCCGGCUAACCGCCGGGCGCCGCGAGGCGACGGAAAGUGCAGCAGAAAACAAACCGCCGAUGGCUCGCGCAACGCGAGAUCAGGCAAGGGUGAAAUGGUGGGGUAAAAGCCCACCGCAGGACUGGCAACAGGACUGGCACGGCAAACCCCAUCUGGAGCAAGGCCAAAUAGGGAAGCGAUGGCGCUGCUCGCGCCGCUUCCGGGUAGGCUGCUGGAGCGCCACGGCAACGCGGCGCCAAGAUGAAUGACUGCCCGAUGCCCCCCAAAGGGCAUCCGACAGAACCCGGCUUAUUGGCGGGCUUCCCUU